UACGAAGGGGGCUAGCGUUGUUCGGAAUUACUGGGCGUAAAGCGUGCGCAGGCGGCUUCUCAAGUCAGUGGUGAAAGCCCGGAGCUCAACUCCGGAACUGCCAUUGAAACUGUAAGACUUGAGGACGAGAGAGGUGAGUGGAAUUCCCAGUGUAGAGGUGAAAUUCGUAGAUAUUGGGAAGAACACCAGUGGCGAAGGCGGCUCACUGGCUCGUAUCUGACGCUCAGGCGCGACAGCGUGGGGAUCGAAA
rnacentral:rRNA from 1 species